GAUGAACGCUGGCGGCGUGCCUAAUACAUGCAAGUCGAGCGAGCAGACGAGGAGCUUGCUCCUCUGACGUUAGCGGCGGACGGGUGAGUAACACGUGGAUAACCUACCUAUAAGACUGGGAUAACUUCGGGAAACCGGAGCUAAUACCGGAUAAUAUAUUGAACCGCAUGGUUCAAUAGUGAAAGACGGUUUUGCUGUCACUUAUAGAUGGAUCCGCGCCGCAUUAGCUAGUUGGUAAGGUAACGGCUUACCAAGGCGACGAUGCGUAGCCGACCUGAGAGGGUGAUCGGCCACACUGGAACUGAGACACGGUCCAGACUCCUACGGGAGGCAGCAGUAGGGAAUCUUCCGCAAAGGGCGAAAGCCUGACGGAGCAACGCCGCGUGAGUGAUGAAGGUCUUCGGAUCGUAAAACUCUGUUAUUAGGGAAGAACAAAUGUGUAAGUAACUAUGCACGUCUUGACGGUACCUAAUCAGAAAGCCACGGCUAACUACGUG
rnacentral:rRNA from 1 species